rnacentral:lncRNA from 1 species
AGGGAAUUAGCACAGAACUAAAUCAUACUAUUCAUGAAUGAAUAAGAAAGACCUAGAUGAGAGGACCUAGCACAGUUUAAUAAUGUAAUAUGUUCUGUAAAUAGUAUGAUAACUAAAUCACCAAACAAUUCCAAAUACUGUUUACAAGAGGGCUAUCAAGAAACAACUGCCCAGUGCAUCGCACAAAAUUAAACUGGAAAAAUACAGAACCUGCACAUCUCCCAGUAAGAUCAUAAUAAGUUGAUUAUUUAUUUGGAUCAGAAAAAGAAGAAAAGUUGAAUAUUCUUAUCUGAUGAUUAAAACAGAACUAUGAUCACCAUCUUAUCUAGCAUCUGAUAAAGCUGAACCAUACAGGUACGCCAACAAUGAACAAGAUAAGCACACUGUCAAUCUUAGCUAUUCUAAACAUACCAUGAUUAGGUCACUAAGGAUCAUGCGCUUUGAAGUUGAAGUUGUUGGAAUGGCAUAAAGUUUAAUUCCUUCUGGUAGUUUUUCAUCUUGAUCACCAACCUAAAUGAAAAAUAUAGAAACAUGAAAAGAAUUAAGAAUAUUUUAUGGAGCACAACUAAACAAAGAUAGAGAAAGAUGCACACGUAUUCACAUAUUGACUUUUUUAUGCAUGAAUGCAUGUAAAAGUAGCACCAGGUCACUAUUGCAUAACAGGGCACAUAUUAUGCAAUUACAAUGCCAGAAUACAUAUGCCCUAGAAACGGUAUAUGGAUAUGGAAAACAGCAGAGCUUUUACUUUCAAAUGAUGCAUAUUCCUUCAAACUUUAAUCCUGUAUCCAAGAAUCUUCAAUAUCCUCAUGCAAUCGCAUGCUUGCAAGAAAUUACUAAAUUAGUCAUCCAAAUUUGUUUCAACUAUAUAUUAGCAUGAUUUGAGCUCUUGCCAUAUAUGGCAAUACUAAGAAAUUGCUAGCCAGCUCUGGAAGUCAUAUGACAUACGAAGGACAAUAGGUUGUUCAAAUCAGUAUUUUGGAGGUAUAAGAUGUCAAGGAAUAGACAACCGUCAACUCUCAAUUGAACCAUUUGAUCAAAUUCAAAAUCUAAGAGAAGGAAUUUCGGGUUCUGGAAUUUCAUAUAUUUCAAUCCCAAUAAAUUUUAACUGCAUUCAGUGAGUGAAAUAUAAGCUAAGCCACCAUGCAAUACAAAGUUAUAAACUACCAAAUUCAAAUUACAUAUUAUUUUACAAAUACAAUAUGACAAAUCAUUAUAUGAGUGUUAUGAUGACCAUGUCUUAGCUUGUUUGAAUAAUAUUUUGUAACUAAAAUAACACAAAAUGAUAGGAAACUUUUUCUUAAAAAAAAAGGUUUACAAGACAUGCUUAGAAAAAAGAAAGAAACAUGCAAUAGUCCUUUCUUCGCUGAACGAGCCAAUCAGAACAAGUUGUUUAGAAUAAGAUAUUACUGAUUACCUAAUAAGCUAUAGCAGCUCUAGGCUAAAUCGACCUGUCAAUGGAACUUAUUCCUUUUGUGCAGAUUUCUCCAUUUUCUCUUCCCUGUACCUGAGUCCAUGAGUGCAUGCUUUACAUUUUACAUUUAGCAGCCUAGGGUUGCCAACGAGCAUUCACAAGAGAAAAACUAACAUGUUUAGUUGCCAAAGCUUUUUACACCAUAACCUAAUUUCCAAAGAGAAUCUGACUGUCAAGAGAUGCAUUUUGCAGCAAACUAGCAUGUUUAUGAUCAUUCAAGUAUUCUCAGAUCCAAAAAUGUUCCUUGAGAGCAAGGUCCACCAUGUCGGUACCUGGCACCAUAUCGGUUGCCUAGCGGCACGAGUCGACACAGGUCAUGCCAAGCCCGUAAUGAGAGAGAAAACCUGCCGGAGCCGAAGAAGGAGAAGAGAAAAAUAGAGAGNNNNNNNNNNNNNNNNNNNNNNNNNNNNNNNNNNNNNNNNNNNNNNNNNNNNNNNNNNAUGAUUAGGUCACUAAGGAUCAUGCGCUUUGAAGUUGAAGUUGUUGGAAUGGCAUAAAGUUUAAUUCCUUCUGGUAGUUUUUCAUCUUGAUCACCA